rnacentral:rRNA from 1 species
UACGUAGGGGGCAAGCGUUGUCCGGAAUUACUGGGCGUAAAGAGCUCGUAGGCGGUUUGUCGCGUCUGCUGUGAAAACCCGAGGCUCAACCUCGGGCCUGCAGUGGGUACGGGCAGACUAGAGUGCGGUAGGGGGAGAUUGGAAUUCCUGGUGUAGCGGUGGAAUGCGCAGAUAUCAGGAGGAACACCAAUGGCGAAGGCAGAUCUCUGGGCCGUAACUGACGCUGAGGAGCGAAAGCAUGGGGAGCGAACAGG